rnacentral:rRNA from 1 species
CCCGGGCCUUGUACACACCGCCCGUCACACCAUGGGAGUUGGAGGUACCGGAAAACGCUGUUGUAACCGUAAGGAGCUAAGCGUUUAUGGUAUGGCCGAUGACUGGGGUG